GUCGAACGGCAGCACGGGGGUAACCCUGGGUGGCGAGUGGCGAACGGGUGAGNNNNNNAUCGGAACGUGUCCUGUAGUGGGGGAUAGCCCGGCGAAAGCCGGAUUAAUACCGCAUACGAUCUACGGAAGAAAGCGGGGGAUCGCAAGACCUCGCGCUAUGGGGGCGGCCGAUGGCAGAUUAGCUAGUUGGUGGGGUAAAGGCCUACCAAGGCGACGAUCUGUAGCUGGUCUGAGAGGACGACCAGCCACACUGGGACUGAGACACGGCCCAGACUCCUACGGGAGGCAGCAGUGGGGAAUUUUGGACAAUGGGGGAAACCCUGAUCCAGCAAUGCCGCGUGUGUGAAGAAGGCCUUCGGGUUGUAAAGCACUUUUGUCCGGAAAGAAAACAUAUGCACUAAUACUGUGUGUGGAUGACGGUACCGGAAGAAUAAGCACCGGCUAACUACGUGCCAGCAGCCGCG
rnacentral:rRNA from 1 species